UAUAUCUAGGUGUAUGAGGCACGAAAGUUUUUGAUAUUUUAGGAAAUAGUUUAAGUCUAUUAGAUAUAA
rnacentral:tRNA from 1 species